UGCAAAGCUGAGCACAUGGAGAUGCCGAACAUUUGCACACCUUCCUUAAAUCCAUUUCCCUCCCUCUCUCCCUUCGCAGCUCCUCCAUCGUUCUCAGUGGACUUGCGUUUCGACUUCGGGUUUGGCACGAAACUUGGGUGGAUGUGAAGGUUUUCCUGGCUCCGCUCUUUGAUUCCUGAACUGCCCACAGCCCUGGUUGUCUGCCCAGAUGGAGUCUGGUACGUGAGGCAGCGGGGGAAAGCGCUUGAACUCUUGAGACAAAAGCUACAAACAAGCAACCGACGGCGGGGUCCAGAAAGAGCCAGGGCACAACCUCAGUCUGUCCUCAGCCAGCCCUCACCUGCUGCCUUUCUUAGUUGCCCACCAGUCGAGAGGGUAGCCCUGGCUGUCAGACUUCGUCCUCCCGAGUCUCUGUUUCGCCCUUGCAGAUCUCAGCAGGGAAGGGACAGUUCUGCCUGUCUCUAGCGCCACCUACUGUUGGGCUCCCUGCUUUCUGCCCCACCAGACGCAAGAUAGAUAAUUUAUUAUGGUCGGAGACCAGCUUAUAAAACACACUUGGGGGUAC
rnacentral:lncRNA from 1 species